GAUCAUGGCUACAGAACGAACGCUGGCGGCAGGCUUAAUCCAUGCAAGUCAAGGGGGUGUAGCAAUACACAACCGGCGUACGGGUGAGUAACGCGUGGGAAUGUGUCCAUUUGUGGGGAAUAGCUUCUGGAAACGGAAGGUAAUACCGCAUACGCCCUUCGGGGGAAAGAUUUAUCGCAGAUGGAGCGGCCCGCGUUAGAUUAGCUAGUUGGUGGGGUAACGGCUUACCAAGGCGAUGAUCUAUAGCUGGUCUGAGAGGACGAUCAGCCACAUUGGGACUGAGACACGGCCCAGACUCCUACGGGAGGCAGCAGGGAGGAAUAUUGGGCAAUGGGGGAAACCCUGACCCAGCCAUGCCGCGUGAGUGAAGAAGGCCUUCGGGUUGUAAAGCUCUUUUGUACGGGAAGAUGAUGACGGUACCGUAAGAAUAAGCACCGGCUAACUUCGUGCCAGCAGCAGC
rnacentral:rRNA from 1 species